UCAACUACUAAAUCAUAUAUUACAAAGGUUCAUCAUGGCUCAAUCAUACCAAGAGUUUAGCUACUCAUGGUUUUACGAUUAUAAACAUAAAUAAGAGUGAACAUACAUAAAUUCGGACCAACUAUGAGUUGGUAUGAGAUUUAGGGCUUGUUCUUCGGUCUCCUGGUGUCUUCUAUGCUCAAAAUCGCACUUCACAAUCGAUAUCCCAUUCUU
rnacentral:lncRNA from 1 species